rnacentral:rRNA from 1 species
CCCUUAGAUGUUCUGGGCGGCCCGCGCACUACAUUGGCACUGUCAGCAAGGGUCUGAAACUAAAACUUUUGGGUAUUCUGAGAACCGGUGUCGUGACUGGGAUUGACCCUUGCAAUUAUUGGUUAUGAACGAGGAAUUCCUUGUAAUCGCGGUUUAUCAGCCCGCGUUGAAUGCGUCCCUGCCCUUUGUACACACCGCCCGUCGCACCUACCGAUUGAAUGGUCCGGUGAAAUCUCGGGACGGCGGCUUGGUCGCUUGCGUCCGACUGCUGAAACUUGAUUAAACCAUAUCAUUUAGAGGAAGGUGAAGUCGUAACA